GGGGGCCCGGGAGCGAGGUGCUGCAGCGCGCGUGCUCACUACGCGACUCUGACGUCUCGGUUCCCGCAG
ensembl:miRNA Mir7071 microRNA 7071